GGGCGCGCUUCCGGGUUUUGGAAGUGGUGCGAGGGUGUUCGGCGGGAGUGGGGUCACGCUCCAGAUUCCUAACCUGCUCUCUGCUGGGCGGAACCUCUGAGUUUAGCUGAGUCUCGGAGAUGGAAUUGGGGCAGGCGCUUGUCACUUAAAGUCCGUGCCCUGCUCGCGGGCUCCUGUCGCAACACUGACAAAUCCGGGAGCCUUCGUGAGAGUGCAAAAAUGAGAGAUGAGGCACCAGAGGUCCCCAGGGAGCAAAUCUGAAAGCCAGCGCCUCCUGAGCAGAGGCUGCCAGGGGCGAGACGACGUUAGACAUUGUCCCCAGAUAUAAGAAGCUUCACUUCCUUCAGACAGAGGCGGUGAGACUAUGAACAGAUUGUUAGAUGAAGCAUAAAACAAGACCAGAUGCUGUGGUUUCCAGGAUGCACUUGGCUUCCCAUCCUUUAUAACCUGGAGCAUUUUUUCCCGUCUGUUCCUGAUGUGUCCACCAGAGACCAGUCCCAUCAGGUAUCCAUAGGGUUUAAAAACAUGGACAUUGCAACCCAACAGACUUGGCUUUAGAUAUUGCCGAGUGACUUUUGCACAGAAGAAAGAAAUUAAUUCAACGGAUGAAAGUGAGAUGCUGAACCAGAUUUGAGAUUUUAGAGGUCAAUCCUUUGCAUGUCUUAUCAUUUCUUCGCAAACUACAACCUUUUUGUUACCCUUGAGGACUAUCAUAACAUCAGAGCUGCUAUUCUUCAUACAAUAUUUCAUUCAUUUGAACAUAACAUGUUUUUAAAAAAAUAUUUACUAUGUGCAACUCAUGGAAAUGCUCCUAAAAUUGGGGGAGUUCUACUGAGCAAAAGAAAUGGAAUAUCCUGUUUAGAGACUGAGUGCAUGGCUUCCAAAGGCAAGGGCAAAUCUUGCUAAUUUUAGAUGUUUAGGGAUGAAAUGUCUACUAGACCUUGUUUCAUCUUAGAGAGGCCCAACAGUAGCGUACUAGCAAGCUAAUGUUAAAUUUGCCCUCCCCACCUGUUUAUUGCUAGUGUUUCUGGAAACAGAAAAACAAAACAAAGGGGUAAGGAAAAAAAAGUCUGUAUGUAACUUGAGUUAGAGAAGUGCAGGAAACAAAUCAAGUAUACGAAGUUAGCAGUGCUCAAAGUCCAUUCAACUUCAGAAUAGUAUACCUGGUAGAGUUCCACAAACCUUUCUCCUUUCUAGCCUGCUGCAUAUUAAGUUUAAAUGCCAGAACCAUUCUGAGAGCUCUGAAUGCCCAUAUAAGGCCUAGAGCCAGAGACAUGCCCCACACCCAUUUCUUUAUAUUUUCUGAAUUCCCCAGUAAACGAGAGAUCAGAAAAAAAGGACAGUAAAGGAAAGGAGACAAAGAGGUUGACUCCCCAACAGUGUUUUCUUCCCCUUUGGUGUUUUGCAAAAAGCUGAAGAGAUGCUAUAAUGAUUCUUUAACCAACUGAAAGCAGCGUUAGAAUUCUGUCUAGAUAUUCUUGAACCUCUGACUGGGCAGUGUUCCACCUUCCACACUCCAGUCCAUCCAUCAUUCAAUACUACUUAUGCUAGAUAAACUGGCUUGCCAUAGUUUAUUGUCAUGUUGUCCUCACAGACUAGUAUUCAAGGAGCCUCCCCUGACUACUUCCAUGGGACUCUUGGAAGUAAACAGAGAAACAGUUUAAAUGAAUGGUAAAAACCCAUGAAAUACAGUGAUUGUUUUUUUUGGGGGGGGGGAGUAAAUAAUCAUAUGUCUUCACUUGAGAGAAUCAUAAGGAUUUCUAGCACACGAAUACACAUUCAUAGCCCAAAACAGAAGACAACUAAAAAAUCUCUGCAGAGGGACAGCAUUUCCUCCUCAUUCCAUAGGAAGGUGGGGAUCUAUGACACUCCAUUUUAAUGAUCAUCCCCAAAUUCCGUUUCUGUGCCCAACACAGUAAAGCAUUUCCAAGUACAGAGUGUCAGGUGAACAACAAACAAACAGCCUCUGUCAAAAUAGUUUGAAGCGUGCAAGAUGUAGAUUAUUGAGUACAGUACUUGAAAAAUGCUAAAUUAUGACAGUCCUCAAUGACAGCUCUGUGACCUGUCUCAUGUUAGGUAGCCUUUCUGGGUUUCUGCCUCUGAAAUUGAAAUAGGUCUACCAACUUCAUAAUUCCGUGAUUCUGUGAUUCGUUCAUUCUGACCUGUAUGUGGGAGAACUUUUGUUUAAAUUUUCUCCCCUUUAGAAUCCAACAAAUGAAUGUUAAAUUUGAACUCAGAGUAUACUUUAACAUAUUAAGAAAUUAUAACAAUUUCUAACAAGACUUGUGUACUGUACUACCUUGUCAGCUACCAUUUUGCCUGUCAUAGUUUUGUUACAAUGUGUUUUUUUUUUGCUUUACGCGGGCCCCUCACUGUUGUGGCCUCUCCCGUUGCGGAGCACAGGCUCUGGACGCACAGGCUCAGCGGCCAUGGCUCACGGGCCCAGACGCUCCGCGGCAUGUGGGAUCCUCCCGGACUGGGGCACGAACCUGUGUCCCCUGCAUCGGCAGGCGGACUGUCAACCACUGCGCCACCAGGGAAGCCCUACAAUGUGGUUUUGUAUUUGUAUGCUUAAAUUUUACAAUCUGUGAUCUCUAUGUUUGUAUGUAUGGUUGAGUUUAGUUCCUUGAAACCAAAGCAUUAAAUAUCAGUAAGGGCUAUAUCAAGAACUUUAAAAAAAAGAAGUGUGGUUAAUACAAAUUCCAUCUUCCACAGAAGAUCAUGGCUUUCAGAAUAUGAACUUGUGAACAACCUAGGGAAAAGAUUCUUUUUCUACUUUAUAACUAACUUUAUUGUUUUAUUCUCUUCAGAAUUCCCUAUCGAACUUUCCAAUGAGGGUUUUAUCUAACAUGGCACUUUUCUGGAAUGUAACCAUCACUACCCCCAGUUAGUGAGAGAUUACUAUAACAAAUAGUGAAAACACUCACAUAGAUUCUCAUGAAUCAUGUUUUAAUUGAGAGCUAGCCAAAGAGGAAGGGUGGAGAGGUAAGGACAUAGAUUUAUCUCUGCUUGUGUGUUCAUUUGUACUUUUAUUUAAAAGAGAAACAACAUUUUCCUCUUUUUUAAAUAAAAUCUCAUCCUCUAGGAAGUAAAUUCAGGAAUAAGAUGCUCCACACCUGUUUUGUGUAGUCCAAUUGAUUGUUAAUUUCAUUGUCUUUUGACAUACUGGGAAGUAUGUUAAUUUGGAACACAUCUCUCUCAUAGAAGUAACAAGCCAACAUUAACACAGGUAAGAUGCAUCUUUUACCUUGAUAAAGACACCUGCUCCAGUGUUAUAGAAAUAGUUAGGGAAGGUCUAGAUAUAUAUAUCUAGAAAGAUAUAAUUUCAAGGAAUCAUGCUCUCUCAGUAUUGAAAGGAAUAUUAAAGUCAGUGAAUGUUCAACCAAAGGCAGUGUGGAACUGUAGAAUGUGUGCUAUGGAAUUAGAGGACCUGGAUCAAAUCACAGCUUUGCAACUUAGUAGCUGUGUGUUUGGGGUAAUUUAUUUAACGUCUCUGAGCCUUGGUUUUCUCACCUAUAAAAUGGGGAUAGUGACUACAUGAUGGAGUUGGUGAAGGGAUUGAAGAUAAUGUAUGUAAAGGACCUGGGACAGACAUAAUAAGCAUUUAGUAAAUGAUUGUGGUGGUUGUGAUCAUCAGUGUCCCACCAACUGGUCAUUAAGCUUAUUUGAACAUUCCCAGUGACAUGGAAUUCACCAACUGUUCAGGUAGCCCAUCUCAUGUUUGGAGAACUCUUCAGUGUUAGUUCUUCCUUUUACUGAGCCUAAAUCUUUUCCCCUAGAACUUUUUCUGUGGUUCUGAUUCUUGCCAUUGGGGCUGCACAGAUUAAGUGUGUAAAUCAAUUAAGCUUGUAAUCUAGAACGGUAUAUACACUUUAAGAGUGGUGUGACCAGUGUGGAUACUAGAGAUUUAUCAACACAGUUUAGGAUCAAACUAGCUUCCUUUUCCUGAAACCCACCCUUUUUUUUUUUUUUUUUGCGGUAUGCGGGCCUCUCACUGUUGUGGCCCCUCCCGUUGUAGAGCACAGGCUCCAGACGCGCAGGCUCAGCGGCCAUGGCUCACGGGCCCAGCCACUCUGUGGCAUGUG